rnacentral:miRNA from 1 species
UCCAUAGGGUUAUGCUGGGAGA